rnacentral:sRNA from 1 species
GGUAAGAGUGCUCCACAUUAAAUCUAGGCAGCAUGGUUCGAUUCCCAUUACAUACAACUUUCUAAUUUUAUUAUUUAUCUUCUUUUUUUUUGCCGUCAAAAUUUAUUAUUUAUUACAAAUUAUGAGAACUGUUUCAUAGACGAUUCUACCACGGACAAUUUCUUCUGAACCUUAUUAGAUCCACGACAGACGACACUUCCUUCUCCUUCUCCAUGCGCUUGAUGGACACCUUCAAUAUCUUCUCUGCGUAGAAUCUUGGCGAACGACUAUAAUUGUACAUCGUUGUAGAUCUCAUGCACACUUGCCUCCAUUAAUCUGCAAAUCUGCUAAUAAAUCGCAAUAGCUGAGACUCGAACCUCAGACCUCUUGGUGUAUAAGCAUUAAUGAACCCUUGGUCAAUCAUUGGGUCAAGGAGGCUUCCACUAUUAUUUAUCUUUAAC